AAUGCAAUUGCUGGGUUCUAUGGUAAGUACAUGUUUUGUCAUAAGAGAAAUUGCCAAACUUUUCCCAAGUGUCUGUACCAUAUUUCCACCAGCAAU
rnacentral:pre_miRNA from 1 species